rnacentral:rRNA from 1 species
GAUGAACGCUGGCGGCGUGCCUAAUACAUGCAAGUCGAGCGAACGGACGAGAAGCUUGCUUCUCUGAUGUUAGCGGCGGACGGGUGAGUAACACGUGGAUAACCUACCUAUAAGACUGGGAUAACUUCGGGAAACCGGAGCUAAUACCGGAUAAUAUUUUGAACCGCAUGGUUCAAAAGUGAAAGACGGUCUUGCUGUCACUUAUAGAUGGAUCCGCGCUGCAUUAGCUAGUUGGUAAGGUAACGGCUUACCAAGGCAACGAUGCAUAGCCGACCUGAGAGGGUGAUCGGCCACACUGGAACUGAGACACGGUCCAGACUCCUACGGGAGGCAGCAGUAGGGAAUCUUCCGCAAUGGGCGAAAGCCUGACGGAGCAACGCCGCGUGAGUGAUGAAGGUCUUCGGAUCGUAAAACGCUGUUAUUAGGGAAGAACAUAUGUGUAAGCAACUGUGCACAUCUGGACGGUACCUAAUCAGAAAGCCACGGCGAACUACGU